UGCACUGACAUUUAAUGUAUGAAUCAUUGUAGUUUAAACAUAUGAAUGAAAUGAAAUACCAGAGCAA